rnacentral:rRNA from 1 species
GAUAAACGCUGGCGGCGCACAUAAGACAUGCAAGUCGAACGGCCAAAACUUUAGUUUACUAUAGUAGAGGUUAGUGGCGGACUGGUGAGUAACACGUAAGCAAUCUGCCUAUCAGAGGGGGAACAACAGUUAGAAAUGACUGCUAAUACCGCAUAUGCCUAAGUAACACAUGUUACAAUAGGGAAAGGAGCAAUCCGCUGAUAGAUGAGCUUGCGUCUGAUUAGAUAGUUGGUGGGGUAACGGCCUACCAAGUCGACGAUCAGUAGCCGGACUGAGAGGUUGAACGGCCACAUUGGGACUGAGAUACGGCCCAGACUCCUACGGGAGGCAGCAGUCGGGAAUAUUGCGCAAUGGAGGAAACUCUGACGCAGUGACGCCGCGUGCAGGAAGAAGGUUUUCGGAUUGUAAACUGCUUUAGACAGGGAAGAAACAAGACAGUACCUGUAGAAUAAGCUCCGGCUAACUACGUG